ACCUGCGCCGGUUGCCCGGUCGCAAAUCCAGCCGCUUCCAGCCAGUUACCCUUGAGGUGCAAACUGGGGUACUGGCUAUAAUAGCGGGUCAUGCCAGUAUUGCGAUCAGCGUGGCGGGUACUG
rnacentral:sRNA from 1 species